rnacentral:rRNA from 1 species
GAUGAACGCUGGCGGCAUGCCUAAAACAUGCAAGUCGAGCGGUAAGGCCCCUUCGGGGGUACACGAGCGGCGGACGGGUGAGUAACGCGUGGGAAUCUACCCAAACUGAGGAUAAGCAUUGGAAACGAUGUCUAAUACCGCAUAUGGUCUUCGGAUUAAAGCUUCGGCGGUUUGGGAAGAGCCGCGUAAGAUUAGCUAGUUGGUGAGGUAAAGGCUCACCAAGGCGACGAUCUUUGACUGGUUUGAGAGGAUGAUCAGUCACACUGGAACUGAGACACGGUCCAGACUCCUACGGAGGCAGCAGUU